rnacentral:rRNA from 1 species
CCUACGGGAGGCAGCAGUGAGGAAUAUUGGUCAAUGGGCGUAAGCCUGAACCAGCCAAGUCGCGUGAGGGAUGAAGGUUCUAUGGAUCGUAAACCUCUUUUAUAAGGGAAUAAAUUGCGGCUCGUGUCCCGUUUUGCAUGUACCUUAUGAAUAAGGAUCGGCUAACUCCGUGCCAGCAGCCGCGGUAAUACGGAGGGUCCGAGCGUUAUCCGGAUUUAUUGGGUUUAACGGGUGCGUCGGCGGGCUUUUAAGUCAGCGGUGAAAGUCUGUGGCUCAACCGUAGAAUUGCCGUUGAAACUGGGAGGCUUGAGUAUGUUUGAGGCAGGCGGAAUGCGUGGUGUAGCGGUGAAAUGCUUAGAUAUCACGCAGAACCCCGAUUGCGAAGGCAGCCUGC